CGAAAAUAAUAUAUGGGUAAAAAAAUUUCAGCACAAAUGCAAGAGAGAAAACUCAGCACAUUUGGGGAUUUAGGUUCGGUAGGGCUUGGAUUGAUGGAGGAGCGUGGGUGAACGGUGGCUGGUGAACGGCGAUGGAGGAGCGUGGGUUCUCGCCUCCAGCAAGCGUGGGCUCUUGGGACCCAGGGAAAUCUUCUCCGGCAUCGUGGGUUCUCGUCUCCAGCACCUCAGCUCGCUGCGGCGGCACGAGUUCUCGGCGGUGGGGGAAAUUUCUGGGUUGACGUACAUAGUUCAUGGCAUAUAGCAGCAGCAAGAUGACAUCAGGAACUAUAUUUACCAUUCAAUUAAACAUGGAAUUCCACUUGCAACGUUUCGCAAAGAAUGCGUUGGAGGUGACUCUCAUAGAAUUUCAUACUGGUAUGAAGAUGAUGAAAUGGUUGGUCACAGAAUUUACAGGGAGAUAAGAAAAAUUGAAGUGAAGAAAGCGAAAUCAAAGGGCUCUCAAGUCCCACUCAAUGCAUCAUACUAGUGGGAAAUAGUUGCAAGCAAUUUUGAUGAAUUCCAAGAUGUUUCUAAGAAACUCUUCUCAAGUAAUAAUAGAACAGAGGUUUCACUAGGGAAAAAGUAAAAGAAAGACAUGCUUCCUAAGGUUGAAAGGGUUCAUAAGAGGAAAGAGAGGUUACUGAAGAAGCAACACGGACAAGCUCCUUCUUGAUAAUUUUUACAAUAUGGAUGGGCUUGCUCCAGGGUGCUCCAUUCGAGAUAGAAAACCUGUCACAUAUACUUUUGGGAUGAUUUUAGAAAGAAAUUCAUGGCAGCCAAUCCUUACUUUGGAAAGGCAGUGACGGGGGUGAGUACAAGGACAAGAAGAAGAAAUAUAUGUUGUUUGACAAUGAAUUUAAUGUUUUAUUAUAUUUGUAAUUUUUAUUAGAGUAAAUGAUUCUUGUUUGAAUGGUUAAUUAUUUACUUUGUAAAUCUAGUUAUAUAUUUUUUAAGGUCAAGACGAUUAUACUUUUAAUAAGUUUUGUUAUUUUACUAUAUAAA